AACAUCGCGCACCUGCGGGAACCUGCGGAAGGAUCAUUACAGAGUUGCAAAACUCCCUAAACCAUUGUGAACGUUACCUAAACCGUUGCUUCGGCGGGCGGCCCGGGUCCUUCCCGGCGCCCAUCGGCCCUCGCGGGCGCCCGCCGGAGGUAAACCAAACUACUGCAUUGUAUGGCCUCUCUGAGUCUUCUGUACUGAAUAAGUCAAAACUUUCAACAAUGGAUCUCAGAUCGGAAGAGC
rnacentral:misc_RNA from 1 species